UCUUAUGAAGUCUGCCCCAUGGAUCCGAUUCUCUCCUACGGAGGCGCAGAGCGAGCGAACGACCGAGGCCAGUGUGGGUUUGCUUCAGUUCAGACAGGACCCGCGGCGCAAUAUCUGCUUGACAGAAACGCUCAGUGAUAAAAAGAAGGAAAAAAAUGCCUGGACAUAUUUGACCAUGUGGAUUCCAUACACCCUCCAGUUUAAAGCAAAGAAACAAAGGACAUACACAACUAUACGUUUAGUUUUCCAGAUACAUCCUGCUUGCUUACAACUCAUUUCUUAGACUGUUAGCUUUUGGAUAAUAUAUUUUUGAGUCAUACAGGUCUCCUCUGGUCAUUAUGUGUCUUGUAUUUUUAUUUUGUGUGUGUGUGUGUGUGUGUCUCUAUCUGAUCUGUUUGAAAAGGCAUUGAUCCAAAUGCUUUGCUUGCCCAGUCUGAUCCCGAUCACUCCUGUUGGCAGAGUUUGCAGAUUCCCCUCUCCAGCUGGCGAAAUCAAGAACCAGAAUCUGAGAGCUCCAAGGAGCACAAUUCCUGCAAGUGAGCAUGCGGGAGGGAAAUGGGAAGUGUUGGUGGAGUCUCACACUUACCGCACUCAGACGAGUUUCCUUUGAAAACCCUUCAGAAUUUCCCUGAGUGAAGAGUAGAUCUCGGAAUUACAGCGAAGUGAACGGCAGAAAGAUGUUGGUAUGUAUGAGAAGGUGAGUGACAUUGUCUACCUGCUGUAGUAUACGACUGAGAAACAGGCAGUUAGGGGACAUUUAUUAUGAAGAUAUAUUGAUUGUCAUACCUUCUUUACUUCAGAACAGCUCAAAGAAUAGGCUAGAUAACCACUGACCAGUUAACAAACUACAUAUUUACACAUCA